rnacentral:rRNA from 1 species
CAGCCCCUCGAGUGGUGGGGAUGAUUAUUUGGCCUAAAGCGUCCGUAGCCGGCCGAGCAAGUCCCCCGUUAAAUCCAGCGUCUCAAGCGUUGGACUGCGGGAGAUACUGCUCGGCUAGAGAGUGGGAGAGGUGUGCGGUAUUCUGGGGGUAGGGGCGAAAUCCUUUGAUCCCCGGAGGACCACCAGUGGCGAAGGCUGCACACUAGAACACGUCUGACGGUCAGGGACGAAAGCUGGGGUAGCGAACCGGAUUAGAUACCCGAGUAGUCC